rnacentral:lncRNA from 1 species
GGAAAACCAGGAGAACCAGGUCCAAAGGGUGAAGCUGGAGCACCUGGAGUUCCUGGAGGCAAGGGUGAUUCUGGUGCCCCUGGAGAACGUGGACCCCCUGGAACCGCAGGAACCCCUGGGCUUAGAGGUGGAGCUGGACCCCCUGGGCCUGAGGGAGGAAAGGGCCCUGCUGGUCCCCCUGGUCCCCCUGGUACUUCUGGUCCUCCUGGUCUGCAAGGGAUGCCAGGAGAGAGAGGAGGUCCUGGGAGUCCUGGCCCAAAGGGUGAAAAGGGUGAGCCAGGCGGUGCGGGUGCUGAUGGAGUUCCAGGAAAGGAUGGGCCGAGAGGUCCUGCUGGUCCUAUUGGUCCCCCUGGCCCAGCUGGUCAGCCUGGAGAUAAGGGUGAAGGUGGUGCCCCUGGACUUCCAGGUAUAGCUGGACCUCGAGGUGGCCCUGGUGAGAGAGGUGAACAUGGCCCUCCAGGACCUGCUGGCUUCCCGGGUGCUCCUGGGCAGAAUGGUGAACCAGGUGCUAAAGGAGAAAGAGGUGCCCCCGGAGAGAAAGGUGAAGGAGGCCCUCCUGGUGCCGCAGGACCCCCUGGUGGUUCUGGACCUGCUGGUCCUCCUGGGCCUCAAGGUGUAAAGGGUGAACGGGGCAGUCCUGGCGGUCCUGUGAGUAUGGAUUCUCAUAGCCAUCACUCUGUGACUGUUAUUGAACAUAUUUAUUGAUUCCAAUCUAGGUGAAGACCACAUAGUGACCAGAAGAAUGUGAUAGUCAGGGUUUUGUUUUGUUUUGUUUUUUGUCUCAUAGUUUGUGUAAAUUCAAAGGGAGCUGGCAAACCCUAAAUGACUUGAUAGAGUUGAAUUCCUGGUCCAUUCCUUUCCUUUAUAUUU